rnacentral:rRNA from 1 species
UACGGAGGGGGCUAGCGUUAUUCGGAAUUACUGGGCGUAAAGCGCACGUAGGCGGAUUGACAAGUCAGAGGUGAAAUCCCAGGGCUCAACCUUGGAACUGCCUUUGAAACUGUCAGUCUUGAGGUCGUGAGAGGUGAGUGGAAUUCCGAGUGUAGAGGUGAAAUUCGUAGAUAUUCGGAGGAACACCAGUGGCGAAGGCGGCUCACUGGCACGAUACUGACGCUGAGGUGCGAAAGCGUGGGGAGCAAACAGG